rnacentral:misc_RNA from 1 species
ACUCACUGGCUGAUCUCCUCGUACCAGCGGGCUACUGCUUCUACGCAGACGAACGCGCUCGUGCUGCUUGUCCCUUCAUCUCAGUUCGCACCCGACGGUAGGCACCCAUCACCGUGCAUCCACUUGUUUCCUGUGCAACAUACCGGAUUCUUCUGGAAGGACACUCCACUGAAUGCUGCUAUAGGCGACCCUUCUCCCGCUGCUCGAUGUCGGAGGGCGUGAGGCACUAGCAAGGUUCGUCCCGCGCACAGCCCUCGAAUGGAGGACGCACCCGAGAUGUCCGCUUCUACAGUGUCCGUCAAGGAUUCUUCAGGGAAUAACGCAUGCUGCGGAUGCGGAAAGCUGGGGAUGCUGCGGACCCCCUCCCUUGCUCGGUUUCAAUUAAUGAGCCUACUACAGAACGACGCUCCGUCUGCCGUGAGAAGCCUUCUGCCCGCUCUUGGAAAGGGAUCCCAAGCGGCUCGAAUGUCGACAAGAGUGUGACCGGGGUAAUAAACCAAAAAA